rnacentral:rRNA from 1 species
AGUUUGAUCCUGGCUCAGGACGAACGCUGGCGGCGUGCUUAACACAUGCAAGUCGAACGGAAAGGCCCUUCGGGGUACUCGAGUGGCGAACGGGUGAGUAACACGUGGGUGAUCUGCCCUGCACUCUGGGAUAAGCCUGGGAAACUGGGUCUAAUACCGGAUAGGACCGCAUGCUUCAUGGUGUGUGGUGCAAAGCUUUUGCGGUGUGGGAUGAGCCCGCGGCCUAUCAGCUUGUUGGUGGGGUAAUGGCCUACCAAGGCGACGACGGGUAGCCGGCCUGAGAGGGUGACCGGCCACACUGGGACUGAGAUACGGCCCAGACUCCUACGGGAGGCAGCAGUGGGGAAUAUUGCACAAUGGGCGCAAGCCUGAUGCAGCGACGCCGCGUGAGGGAUGACGGCCUUCGGGUUGUAAACCUCUUUCAGUAGGGACGAAGCGAAAGUGACGGUACCUACAGAAGAAGGACCGGCCAACUACGUGCCAGCAGCCGCGGUAAUACGUAGGGCCCGAGCGUUGUCCGGAAUUACUGGGCGUAAAGAGCUCGUAGGUGGUUUGUCGCGUUGUUCGUGAAAACUCACAGCUUAACUGUGGGCGUGCGGGCGAUACGGGCAGACUAGAGUACUGCAGGGGAGACUGGAAUUCCUGGUGUAGCGGUGGAAUGCGCAGAUAUCAGGAGGAACACCGGUGGCGAAGGCGGGUCUCUGGGCAGUAACUGACGCUGAGGAGCGAAAGCGUGGGUAGCGAACAGGAUUAGAUACCCUGGUAGUC